GGGACAAGCCCAGCACCGAAUCCCCCGGCAUGCAGCCGGUGGGAAAUGUGGUGUGUGGGACGCCAACUGUCGUCCGCGCUGGAGACCGAAGUCCUCCUGAUCGGGGCCUCUCCCACAGCGGGUGUCAGGCCUUUACUGGUCUCUGGCCGGGCGGCUGCGAGCGUCUCAGGAGUCGGGUUGUUUGGGAAUGCAGCCCAAAGCGGGUGGUAAACUCCAUCUAAG
rnacentral:rRNA from 1 species